AGAGUUUGAUCCUGGCUCAGGAUGAACGCUAGCGACAGGCUUAACACAUGCAAGUCGAGGGGCAGCGAGGUAGUGCUUGCACUACUGCCGGCGACCGGCGCACGGGUGAGUAACACGUAUGGAACCUGCCCGCAGCAGGGGGAUAAGCGGAAGAAAUUCCGUCUAAUACCGCGUAAGAACGUUGGGAGGCAUCUCCCGAUGUUUAAAGAUUUAUCGGCUGCGGAUGGCCAUGCGGCGCAUUAGCUAGUCGGCGGGGUAACGGCCCACCGAGGCGACGAUGCGUAGGGGUUCUGAGAGGAAGGUCCCCCACACUGGUACUGAGACACGGACCAGACUCCUACGGGAGGCAGCAGUGAGGAAUAUUGGUCAAUGGCCGAGAGGCUGAACCAGCCAAGUCGCGUGAGGGAAGACGGCCCUACGGGUUGUAAACCUCUUUUGUCGGGGAGCAAAGCGAACCACGUGUGGUUCAUUGAGAGUACCCGAAGAAAAAGCAUCGGCUAACUCCGUGCCAGCAGCCGCGGUAAUACGGAGGAUGCGAGCGUUAUCCGGAUUUAUUGGGUUUAAAGGGUGCGCAGGCGGAGGUGCAAGUCAGCGGUCAAAUUGCGGGGCUCAACCCCGUACUGCCGUUGAAACUGCAUCCCUUGAGUGCGCGAGAAGUAUGCGGAAUGCGUGGUGUAGCGGUGAAAUGCAUAGAUAUCACGCAGAACUCCGAUUGCGAAGGCAGCAUACCGG
rnacentral:rRNA from 1 species